rnacentral:rRNA from 1 species
GACGAACGCUGGCGGCGUGCUUAACACAUGCAAGUCGAACGAUGAAGCUGGAGCUUGCUCCGGUGGAUUAGUGGCGAACGGGUGAGUAACACGUGAGAAAUCUGCCCUUCACUCUGGGAUAACUGCGGGAAACUGUAGCUAAUACCGGAUACUUUCCCUGGUGGGCAUCCACUAGGGAAGAAAGAAUUUCGGUGAAGGAUGAUCGCGCGGCCUAUCAGCUAGUUGGUGAGGUAAUGGCUCACCAAGGCGACGACGGGUAGCCGGCCUGAGAGGGUGACCGGCCACACUGGGACUGAGACACGGCCCAGACUCCUACGGGAGGCAGCAGUGGGGAAUAUUGCACAAUGGGCGAAAGCCUGAUGCAGCAACGCCGCGAGGGAUGAAGGCCUUCGGGUUGUAAACCUUUUUUAGCAGGGAAGAAGCGAAAGUGACGGUACCUGCAGAAAAAGCACCGGCUAACUACGUGCCAGCAGCCGCCGUAA